rnacentral:rRNA from 1 species
CCUACGGGGGGCAGCAGUGGGGGAUAUUGCACAAUGGGGGAAACCCUGAUGCAGCGACGCCGCGUGUGGGAAGACGGUCCUCUGGAUUGUAAACCACUGUCCCCAGGGACGAAGAUGACGGUACCUGGGGAGGAAGCUCCGGCUAACUACGUGGCAGCAGCCGCGGUAAUACGAAGGGAGCGGGCGUUGUCCGGAAUUACUGGGUGUAAGGGGAGCGUAGGCGGGGAUGGAAGUUGGGUGUCAAAACUACCGGCUCAACUGGUAGUCGCACUCAAAACUGCAGCUCUUGAGUGAAGUAGAGGCAGGCGGAAUUCCUAGUGUAGCGGUGAAAUGCGGAGAUAUUAGGAGGAACACCAGUGGCGAAGGCGGCCUGCUGGGCUUUUACUGACGCUGAGGCUCGAAAGUGUGGGGAGCAAACAGGAUUAGAUACCCGUGUAGUC